AUUGAACGCUGGCGGAAUGCUUUACACAUGCAAGUCGAGCGGCAGCGCGGGGGCAACCCUGGCGGCGAGCGGCGAACGGGUGAGUAACAUAUCGGAACGUACCCCGUCGUGGGGGAUAACACAGCGAAAGCUGUGCUAAUACCGCAUACGACCUGAGGGUGAAAGCGGGGGACCGUAAGGCCUCGCGCGAUGGGAGCGGCCGAUAUCGGAUUAGCUUGUUGGUGAGGUAAAGGCUCACCAAGGCGACGAUCCGUAGCUGGUCUGAGAGGACGACCAGCCACACUGGAACUGAGACACGGUCCAGACUCCUACGGGAGGCAGCAGUGGGGAAUUUUGGACAAUGGGGGCAACCCUGAUCCAGCCAUUCCGCGUGAGUGAAGGAGGCCUUC
rnacentral:rRNA from 1 species